rnacentral:rRNA from 1 species
GUAGGUGGCAAGCGUUGUCCGGAAUUAUUGGGCGUAAAGCGCGCGCAGGUGGUUCUUUAAGUCUGAUGUGAAAGCCCCCGGGCUCAACCGGGGAGGGUCAUUGGAAACCGGGGAACUUGAGUGCAGGAGAGGAAAGUGGAAUUCCACGUGUAGCGGUGAAAUGCGUAGAUAUGUGGAGGAACACCAGUGGCGAAGGCGACUUUCUGGCCUGUAACUGACACUGAGGCGCGAAAGCGUGGGGAGCAAACAGGAUUAGAUACCCUGGUAGUCCACGCCGUAACCGAUGAGUGCUAAGUGUUGGGGGGUUUCCGCCCCUCAGUGCUGCAGCUAACGCAUUAAGCACUCCGCCUGGGGAGUACGGUCGCAAAGACUGA